CCACAUGAACAGUACUUUAUUGUCAUUGGCUGUAUUUUUCUUUUUCUAUUUUGCUUUUUGAUAAUUAUAUUUUUUAUCUGUCUCUUCCUCUUUGCCCGAUGUCAUCUGCUCACCGCCUACUGCCGAUAGAAAUGUGCUUACUGUCACCGACUCAACUUCACUAUCUCUUAUACCUUCUUCUAAUUAUUCCACCGCUUAAUCUAAUACUCAUUUCUCUCUGAAUCUAUCAUGGUCAAGGCCUCCAGAUCCUUCUACACCGCCUCUCUGAAAUACCCCCAACUGAUCGUCUCUGCCUCCUUUAAGCCUCCAUCCACCGCUAUGCAUGUAUACAACUCUAGAAUCGGUCGCCACCGUGGAACCGUCGAAGCUCCAGACGCCCUUCUGCCAGUCUUCACGACCUUCGUUUUGCUGGAAAUCUACUUGAUAGUCGACUGUCUAAAAUCAAACGGCGGUCGCAUCCCUUCUCUAAAAUCGAGCAGCAACAGAAACCUUCGCAGCACCUCCUUUUAUAUAUGUCGUCGUCCUCCGGUGGCUUCCCGUUUUCCAUCCCUGAUUCCGCCAAUUAGGGUUAGGUUUGUUGUUGUUGUUCUGUCCUGGACGACGUUACAACAACGGCUCUUAGGCCGGUCCUUCAUCCUGUGAAUCAAGUUGUUUCAAGGUCCUCUGGUGUCACGACGAUCGAUUCCCCCUUCGUAUCCUUCUUGACUACCAUCAAAAUCAAAUCUUUUGCUAUUAGAAUAUAUGGAAGGUUUCAGACCGACUUGCACCAGCAACACAGAAGACUAAUGUUACUAUGAUUGAAAGGGUAGACUUCCAUGAUAGCGAUGCUUUCCCCUGCUUUUCCUUUUUCAACUUAAUGAAAAGGUUUUAUGUGAUAUAUUGGCGGAUAAUAAUGGUAUUAAGAAACUCCAGGUAAAUAUUAAUGGUG